CCCCAGCAGUGAAAGAGGCAAGUCCUAACCACUGGACUGCCAGGGAACUCCUGGUAAGUCACUUCUGAGGUUGGGUUUUAAUAUUUUGGUUUCUCUUGCUCUCCUUCCCUGGGAACAUUUGCUCUGGGGGAAGCCAGCUGACAUGUCGCCAGCAGCUUUAUGGGGAGGCCCAAAGGCAAGCAACUAAGGGCUUUCGAGGAAGACAGUGUGAGUGAACUUGGAAGUGGAGCCACCCCAGCUUUCAGAUGACCACAGUCUCAGCCAGUGUCUUGACAGCACCUGCAUGAGAGACCCUGAGUCAGCGCCACCCAGCUAAGCUGCUCCUGGAUUUCUGACCAUUGGAAACUGUGUAAGAUGGGGAAACCGAGGCACAGAGAAGCAAAGUGAUCUUCCCAGAGCCACACAGCCAGUGGGUGGUAGGGCCAGGCUCCAAACCCAGGUCUUUCUGAGCCCCGAGCCCACUGCACCAUCUUGCCUGCACAUACUUGAAUGCUACCACAUACCACAUCUUUGACUGCAUACCAGAGAUGGAAUCUUCAGAUACUCAAAAGUCCCUGCCUCAUGGAGCUUACAUUCCAGGACCCAAUCCAGGAUAUCACAUGCAUUGUUUUUAACUAUAGCUGCCUCCCUGGGGUUUUGUGUGGAUUGGAUGAUAAACUGCAGGUAGAAGGGCUACGUAAACCAUGAACUAUGUAAGUGUUAUCAGCAGUUAUUUUUCAUUGUUGUUCUGGUUAAUGAUGAAACAUACUGACGCUUCCCUCACUGCACUGCUCGGUGUGAGUAGAUUCCAAUUUCAUUAUUAAAAUGACUAAAACCGUAUGCUGGGCACUUUAAUCCUCACAACAAUUAUAUUAUGCUUCUGUUAUGAGACUCAGAGUUGAUAUACCUUUAGGCUUUCUAGGCCCUUCCAAGGUAGAGUUAGGUACCCUUUCAUGUGCUGUCUCAUCACAGCACUUACUGUGCAGUCUUCCCCACUAGACUAGAAGCUGUGGGUUCCAGGAACUGGAUUUUGUUCACUGUUAUUCCCUCUAUCCAGCAAAUAGUCAGGCACAUAGAUGAUACUCAAAAAAAAACUGCUUAGAUGAAUGAAUAAAUUAAGGCUGAUUUUUUUUUUUUUGCAGUUUUGAGUGUUUUAUUUAUGCCAAAUUGGAUAAAAUAGGUGUAUUUCUCAGACAGAAAAGACAUGUCGAGGUAGAAAUGUACCUUUCAACUAUUCAUGGGUACACAAGUACACUGGGGAGAUUGUAAAAGUGCAGAUUGUGAGUCAGUAGGUCCGGUAAGCCUGAGUUCUAUUUUUAUUUUUGGGGGGGGGGGGUUUGAGUAAUUUUUAUUUAAAAUUUU